rnacentral:rRNA from 1 species
AAGAUGAGCGGUUGAAGAAACAUAGCUACUUUUGAGAGAGACGGAAGGCCCCAUUAAAGCGUGGGAAACUACCUGGGAGAGGGGGACAAAAGCUGGAAACGACUGCUAAUACCGCAUACGCCCUACGGGGGAAAGGGGGGGAUCUUCGGACCUCGAGCUAUCAGAUGAGCCCGCGUGAGAAUAGCUAGCUGGAGGGGUAAUGGCCUACCAAGGCGACGAUCUCUAGCUGGUCUGAGAGGAUGAUCAGCCACACUGGGACUGAGACACGGCCCAGACUCCUACGGGAGGCAGCAGUGGGGAAUAUUGGACAAAGGGGGCAAGACUGAUCCAGCCAUGCCGCGUGUGUGAAGAAGGCCUUCGGGAUGGAAAGCACUUACAGCGAGGAGGAAAGGUUAAGUGAUAAUAACACUUAGCUGAGACGUUACUCGCAGAAGAAGCAACCGGCUAACUCCGUGCCAGAAGUCGCGGCAAUACGGAGGGAGGAAGCGCUAAACGGAAUUACUGGGCGAAAAGAGAGGCGAAUGUCGUUUGUCAAGCAAGAAGGGAAAGCCCCGGGCUCAACCUGAGAACUGCAUGUCGAAAUGGGAAGCUAGAGUACAGUA